CUGCAAUCGACAGAAGGUCGCUAUGUCUCCUCUGAAACGUUGAGUCCGGUUCAACAGUCAGCCAGUGAGCCGGCUGAUUCGAAUAUGAUGGUAGUGAGGGAACAGACACCGUCGGAUGCGCUUGUAAUAGUCCCGAUUCAAGUUUUUGUGCCGGCGUCCCAAACAACCACUGUGCCGGAACUUCAAGAAACACCUGAGUCAGAUUUUGAACCAACCCCUCUGCUACAGAUUGAAGGAACUACAGAAACGUAAGAAAUAGUAUUGGGUGUAUAUUU